rnacentral:rRNA from 1 species
AUUGAACGCUGGCGGCAGGCCUAACACAUGCAAGUCGAGCGAGCGGCGGACGGGUGAGUAAUGUCUGGGAAACUGCCUGAUGGAGGGGGAUAACUACUGGAUACGGUAGCUAAUCCCGCAUACCAUCCGAUUUGCCCAGAUGGGAUUAGCUAGUAGGUGGGGUAACGGCUCACCUGGGCGACGAUCCCUAGCUGGUCUGAGAGGGUGACCGGCCACACUGGGACUGAGACACGGUCCAGACUCCUACGGGAGGCAGCAGUGGGGAAUAUUGGACAAUGGGCGAAAGCCUGAUGCAGCAAUGCCGCGUGUGUGAAGAAGGCCUUCGGAUUGUAAAGCACUUUCAGCGGGGAAGCGGUACCCGCAGAGGAAGCAACGGCUAACUCCGUGCCAGCAGCCGCGGUAAUAC